rnacentral:rRNA from 1 species
AGAGUUUGAUCAUGGCUCAGGAUGAACGCUGGCGGCGUGCCUAACACAUGCAAGUCGAACGAAGCAUGACCCUUGAGGCCUUCGGGCGGAAGGGGCCAUGACUUAGUGGCGGACGGGUGAGUAACGCGUGGGUAACCUGCCCUAUACUGGGGGAUAACAGCUAGAAAUGGCUGCUAAUACCGCAUGAGCGCACAGUCCCGCAUGGGACAGUGCGGAAAACUCCGGUGGUAUAGGAUGGACCCGCGUCCGAUCAGCUGGUUGGUGGGGUAACGGCCCACCAAGGCGACGAUCGGUAGCCGACCUGAGAGGGUGACCGGCCACAUUGGGACUGAGACACGGCCCAAACUCCUACGGGAGGCAGCAGUGGGGGAUAUUGCACAAUGGGGGGAACCCUGAUGCAGCGACGCCGCGUGAGUGAAGGAGUACUCCGGUAUGUAAAGCUCUAUCAGCAGGGAAGAACAAAGACGGUACCUGACCAAGAAGCCCCGGCUAACUACGUGCCAGCAGCCGCGGUAAUACGUAGGGGGCGAGCGUUAUCCGGAUUCACUGGGUG